CCUACGGGAGGCAGCAGUGGGGAAUUUUGGACAAUGGACGCAAGUCUGAUCCAGCAAUGCCGCGUGCAGGACGAAGGCCUUCGGGUUGUAAACUGCUUUUGUACAGAACGAAAAGGCUCUGGUUAAUACCUGGGGCUCAUGACGGUACUGUAAG
rnacentral:rRNA from 1 species